AGGGUGUAAACGCUGCAGACUUGGUGUUGGAGGCCCUUUGGGGGCAUUCAGUGCCGGAGAGAAGUUGUUAAGUCUGCUACUUGGGGAGUACGUCCGCAAGGAUGAAACUUAAAGGAAUUGGUGGGGGAGCACCGCAACGGGAGGAGCGUGCGGUUUAAUUGGAUUCAACACCGUAAACUCACCAGGGAAGACUGUUACAUGAAGGCCGAGAUGAAGACUCUGCUAGAUUUUCAGAGAGGUGGUGCAUGGCGUCAGUGACU
rnacentral:rRNA from 1 species